rnacentral:rRNA from 1 species
UACGGAGGGUGCAAGCGUUGUUCGGAUUUAUUGGGCGUAAAGAGCUCGUAGGCGGUGUGUCACGUCGGCCGUGAAAACCUGCAGCUUAACUGUGGGCGUGCGGUCGAUACGGGCAUCACUGGAGUUCGGCAGGGGAGACUGGAAUUCCUGGUGUAGCGGUGAAAUGCGCAGAUAUCAGGAGGAACACCGGUGGCGAAGGCGGGUCUCUGGGCCGAUACUGACGCUGAGGAGCGAAAGCGUGGGGAGCAAACAGG